AGCUCAGCUGGUUAGAGCGGUCCCGCUUUGAAAAAGCGGGAUCAAUCCGUAGGCCAUAGGUUCAAGUCCUAUCUGAG
rnacentral:tRNA from 1 species